UACGUAGGGGGCAAGCGUUGUCCGGAUUUAUUGGGCGUAAAGCGCGUGUAGGCGGCUUUGCAAGUCGGGUGUGAAAGCCCUCAGCUUAACUGAGGAAGUGCGCCCGAAACUGCAGAGCUUGAGUACCGGAGAGGAUGGUGGAAUUCCCCAAGUAGAGGUGAAAUUCGUAGAUAUGGGGAGGAACACCGGUGGCGAAGGCGACCAUCUGGACGGAUACUGACGCUGAGACGCGAAAGCGUGGGUAGCAAACAGG
rnacentral:rRNA from 1 species